CCGGGCUCGGGAACGGUGCCCGGGCCCUGCGCGGCGACGCGGGGCAGCUCGGCGGGGCUGACCCCCCUCGCGGCGGGCGGCCGGCCCGGGGCGGCUGCGGGGAGCCCAGCUGUGCUCCGCCCGGGCAGAAGCUAAGCGAACGGCACGCUCUUCCUGAACUUCGCGGGAACGCGUCCAGCAAGCUCCUGCUCUCCUCCCGGCACGCGUGCGCUGCAGUCGCCAUCUAGAUGACAGGCACAGCCACCGUGAGGACCACGCAGUGAGCGAAGCGCGCUUCGGUGUGGAGGCCAAGGCCGUUUCCAGGGGCUCUUGAAUGCGGAAACUGAGGUCAUCUGCCCAAGGUCACAGAGCUAGUAAGUGGCAGGCCUUCUAGAGUCCAAACCCUUCACAUCAACCACAAUCCACAUGUGUGCGCCAGUGUUCUGUACAUUCACCAUGAAA